UCUUGGUCAUUUAGAGGAAGUAAAAGUCGUAACAAGGUCUCCGUUGGUGAACCAGCGGAGGGAUCAUUACUGAGUUUACGCUCUACAACCCUUUGUGAACAUACCUAUAACUGUUGCUUCGGCGGGUAGGGUCUCCGCGACCCUCCCGGCCUCCCGCCUCCGGGCGGGUCGGCGCCCGCCGGAGGAUAACCAAACUCUGAUUUAACGACGUUUCUUCUGAGUGGUACAAGCAAAUAAUCAAAACUUUUAACAACGGAUCUCUUGGUUCUGGCAUCGAUGAAGAACGCAGCGAAAUGCGAUAAGUAAUGUGAAUUGCAGAAUUCAGUGAAUCAUCGAAUCUUUGAACGCACAUUGCGCCCGCCAGCAUUCUGGCGGGCAUGCCUGUUCGAGCGUCAUUUCAACCCUCAAGCUCUGCUUGGUGUUGGGGCCCUACAGCCGAUGUAGGCCCUCAAAGGUAGUGGCGGACCCUCCCGGAGCCUCCUUUGCGUAGUAACUUUACGUCUCGCACUGGGAUCCGGAGGGACUCUUGCCGUAAAACCCCCCAAUUUUCCAAAGGUUGACCUCGGAUCAGGUAGGAAUACCCGCUGAACUUAAGCAUAUCAAUAAGCGGAGG
rnacentral:rRNA from 1 species